UGCAUAUCAAUAAGCGGAGGAAAAGAAACCAACAGGGAUUGCCUCAGUAACGGCGAGUGAAGCGGCAACAGCUCAAAUUUGAAAUCUGGCCGCAAGGUCCGAGUUGUAAUUUGCAGAGGAUGCUUUUGGCGAGGUGCCUUCCGAGUUCCCUGGAACGGGACGCCAUAGAGGGUGAGAGCCCCGUACGGUAGGACCACCGAGCCUCUGUAAAGCUCCUUCGACGAGUCGAGUAGUUUGGGAAUGCUGCUCUAAAUGGGAGGUGUACGUCUUCUAAAGCUAAAUACCGGCCAGAGACCGAUAGCGCACAAGUAGAGUGAUCGAAAGAUGAAAAGCACUUUGAAAAGAGGGUUAAAAAGUACGUGAAAUUGUUGAAAGGGAAGCAUUCAUGACCAGACUUGGGCUUGGUUGAACAUCCGGCGUUCUCGCCGGUGCACUCUGCCAGUCCAGGCCAGCAUCAGUUUGCCCCGGGGGAUAAAGGCGGUGGGAAUGUGGCACCCUCCGGGGUGUGUUAUAGCCCGCCGUGUAAUGCCCUGGGGCGGACUGAGGAACGCGCUUCGGCACGGAUGCUGGCGUAAUGGUCAUCAAUGACCCGUCUUGAACACGGACCA
rnacentral:rRNA from 1 species